GAUGUGGCACGAGACAUUGAUACCCACACGCAUAGGAUUGGCCGCACAGGAAGAGCGGGUGAGAAAGGUGUGGCCUAUACCCUACUCACUCCCAAGGACAGCAAUUUUGCUGGUGACCUGGUCCGGAACUUGGAAGGAGCCAAUCAACACGUUUCUAAGGAACUCCUAGAUCUGGCAAUGCAGAAUGCCUGGUUUCGGAAAUCUCGAUUCAAAGGAGGAAAAGGAAAAAAGCUGAACAUUGGUGGAGGCGGCCUAGGCUACAGGGAGCGGCCUGGCCUGGGCUCUGAGAACAUGGUGAGUCUAGAGUACUACGGUAGUGCCUUUAUAGUUGGUCUCAUGUCCUGAAAGUCAUUAGGAAUAUUCUCAUCUACCCAAGAAAGCCUCAGUGAGUUUAAAACCCUGUAUAGAAGGGAAUUUGUAUUUAAUCUGAUUUGAGUCAAUGCAGUGCUCAUUCUUAUGGUAACUUGCUAUUGAAGAAGCAUUUUUGUGUACUUGGUUGACUAGGCUUGCUCAGGAAAUUAUUCUAGAUUAGCAGAGAUCUCACACUGUGGUCCCUGGGCCAGCAGCACAUGCAAACUCAUCCCCAACCCC
rnacentral:sRNA from 1 species